rnacentral:pre_miRNA from 1 species
GUGUAGGGCAAUCUGUAGGUAAAAUUACUCUAAAAUAAAUCCUAUCUAAAUCCUAGAUAGUUUCCCUUCGAGUCAAGUAUCUUGU